UAGGGAAUCUUCGGCAAUGGACGGAAGUCUGACCGAGCAACGCCGCGUGAGUGAAGAAGGUUUUCGGAUCGUAAAGCUCUGUUGUUAGAGAAGAACGUUGGUAGGAGUGGAAAAUCUACCAAGUGACGGUAACUAACCAGAAAGGGACGGCUAACUACGUGCCAGCAGCCGCGGUAAUACGUAGGUCCCGAGCGUUGUCCGGAUUUAUUGGGCGUAAAGCGAGCGCAGGCGGUUCUUUAAGUCUGAAGUUAAAGGCAGUGGCUUAACCAUUGUACGCUGUGGAAACUGGAGGACUGGAUUGCAGAAGGGGAGAGUGGAAUUCCAUGUGUAGCGGUGAAGUGCGUAGAUAUAUGGAGGAACACCGGUGGCGAAAGCGGCUCUCUGGUCUGUAACUGACGCUGAGGCUCGAAAGCGUGGGGAGCAAACAGG
rnacentral:rRNA from 1 species